ensembl:misc_RNA 7SK 7SK RNA
GGAUGUGAGGGCAACCUGGCUGCGACACCUGUCACCCCAUCGAUCGCCAGAUUGAUUGGGCUGAUCUGGCCGGCUAGGCCGGUGUCCCCUUCCUCCCUCACCGCCCCAUGUGCGUCCCUCCCGAAGCUGCGCUCAGUCCAAGAGGACGGCCUUCCCCGAAGAGAGACGGACCGGCCAUUGGUCGAGGGUAUAGGAGGAGCUGCUAGAACCUGCAAACAAACUCUGAGAACUAGACGAGGACGUCACACAUAAAACACCCUGUAGCAGCACAAACAGCCUUGUAGGAUUAGUGUUCAACAACCGGCAAACUGAAUUCAUCAGUGCAUUGAAAGAGU